UCCCUGGUGGUCCAGUGGUUAAGACUCUGUGCUUCCAAUGCAGGAGGUGCAGGUCCAAUCCCUGGCCGGGGAA
rnacentral:tRNA from 1 species